rnacentral:tRNA from 1 species
GCGGGGUGGGGUAGCCAGGAUAUCCCGUCGGGCUCAUAACCCGGAGAUCGAUGGUUCAAAAGCGGCGGAGGCCGCA